UGCAGGAAUAACAUAGAACAUAAAUGAAUCGACAAUGACAAUUUCACGGAUGUAUCGAAAAUGCAAGUUGAAAUGCAAAAUAAUCUUCUAUUAUCGAACUACGCUAAAGCUGAAGAUUCUCGAGAUACACUUGAGAGCAAACUUAAUUGAUACUCAUGAGUUUCGAAAUUUCUGCUAAAAUUCCUCUGAGAGCAUCGACGAAGGAAGUGUACAUUUAAAAAAGACAAGUUUAUCACGAGGAAUAAAGGAACGCAUUCUAUUCAUCAAAGUGUCUUUUCAUGGACUGCUUAAAUCUUCUCAUAUCUAAAACCUUCAAAAUAUCACAUACCAGACAUGGGAAUUGAUCACUAUAACACUGUGUAUAAUAAUUCUUCCAAAAAAGCAACUAUAUAAAAGAAUAUAAUCCUAUAUAACAAUUUCUGUCUUCUAAGACAAUGUUUAUAUCCUUCUAUGUAUAGAAUUCUUGCCAAGGCAACAAGUUCCCAACAGGAGAUAUAACGUUAAGGCAUCAAAAUUCCUAUCUCUGUCUGAGAGGCAGUGUUGAAAUGGAACAAGGAAUCGGAUGCAUCCUCCAGCGAUCCAGUGAAAAGUUGAUCCCUUAAAGAUCCGGGCACGCCCGGGAGCAACGAGCUCCGAUUCAAAGCUUAAAAAAGCUACUUACUUUCUAAAACAAAAGCUCGAAUCUCCCGUCUUUUCCAGCGAUAAAACUGCUAUCCAUGAAAAAAAUGAGAAAAAAAUGAGAAAGAGUUCGAUAACCUGACAGCAACCUCCUCUUUAGCAAAUGUCACCAAGCUGUCAGCAAGACGACGUUUCGUGGAUAAGCGGUUGCCAAGUGGAAUUGUUUGGCAUGCGCGUUGUAUUUCGAAAAGUAUCAUUGUCGUAAGAGAUGUAACAUAGUUGAUUAAAACUUUGACUAAACCUUUUUCUUAUGAACUAACCAUUUGGCUUCGAAUAACGAGUAUGACUCGUCAUAUUAAUAUGCUACAUAUCGUAUAUAAACAUAAUGACAAUAAUUAUUUAUAGAGCCACGGAUAUUUAUACAGAUUCAUAUCUUUACAUGUAUAAUUUAAAAAGUGUAUUGUAAAUAUUUUAUAUAUCUUUGUGUAUUAUGCACGAUUUGUGUAUUUUUUAAACUUAACAUUUCCCACAAAUGUGUACAAAUCGAAAAAUACUUUAUAAUAUACUGUACAUACAAAGCAAGUGACGAUGAGCUACUUAUACUUCACACGUCGAUUAAGUCACGUAAAACAUGUCAAUUAAAUCGAAGGAUUAAUUCACUACAGCCCGUGCCAUAGUCAGUGACAAAAUUUGUAUUUAUUUUCUUUUUUCUUCUUCUUUGCGUAUGUUUAUACAUCAAAACAUGUGACGACUCUAAUUGGCGUUUCUAAUGUUUGAAACGAUGCAAAAUAUAUCAGGCGAUAAUCUCUCAUGAUGUUAUAAGACAAGGGAUUAGUUAAAAAGAUUUAAAGGACGGUAGAGAUUGUUCUUAAUGCAUUUAGGGUUGUGUAUGUCUGAUAUACAUAAGUGUACAUAUGCUAGCUAUAAAAAGUAUUUAUUGUAGCAUUUACAGGCUAAUUAAUUAGAUCUAAGUAUAUCAAUUUUCAUAUCACGUCAUAUCAUUCAGUGAUACUUCCAUAUUACUGUAACAAUUUGAUACUAUUUGAUACUAUAAACAUGAAAUUGAGAAUCUGAUUAAAAACAAUAGUUCUACUGGGAACUAAGGGUAUGCGUAAGUACCUUUUAUAGUCACUGUAUUUCGUGUCUGUAAGAUUAAUUUGUAAAUUGAUAUGUAUAUAAAAUUCCUUUAUAUCUGCAUAUAAAGUUAUACGUUUAUAAGAUAUAUUAUGCAAAUCGUGCAUUGUACGAUGCCUAAUUGUACGAUCAUUCUAAAAAUGAUUAAUUAUAGAAGUGUAAUUGUAAGUACAUUCCAUUAUACAGAUAUAGAUAAGUUAAAUGUAUAGAUAAGAUAGCAUACUAUAACAGAACGUAAGCUAAUGAUAAAAUGUUUUGAGUUAAGUAAUUAGUAAGAUAAGAGCUUGGAAUAUUAAAUAUAAAUAUGAUGUAAACCGAAAAGCGAAAAUUAAAAACAAUACUAAAAAAAAU